AAAACAGAAGUUGUUGGUAACAGAAGUAGCAGUGGCGUAAAGAGAAGAGAUCCGACAAUAUGUUGCUUCACAGUGUACUCAUAGCUAUCUAGUCUUUGUCGAAGAGGAUUACACUUACGACCCCUGCCAAAAUAAUUCAGCAACUGUAUGAAGAACUUGAAGCAAAGAAACAUCAAAAUCACAGAGACAACUAAAUCUCAAGACAUUUUCCUGUUUUCUACCAAAAAAAAAAAAAUAUCAAGCACCCAUUAAUUAUGUAAAAGAAGGGCCUAGUCAUACGAGUAGGUUUCAUUUGUAAUUGCAACCUAUAAUGCAGUAAAGUUGAAAUAUGCCCGUCCCACAAAAACAAACAGUCACCAGCCAACCUCUUUCAGAAAUAAUACUACUUCAAAGUACAUAAUAACAAUUUAUGUGAUCAAUAGAUAUGAAGCACUCAUUAGAUCAUGUAAAAAGAAGGGCCUAGUCUUAAUAGUAGGUUUCAUCUGUAAUUGCAACUUGCAAGUGAGAAUCUUAAUGAUUUUAAUCAGAAAAAGUUUUAGUUCAGGCUAACCUGAACAAGCGCCACAAAGCUGCUAAUGCCUGUAUCUGCUGAGAGUACAAAAGUGAUAUCAUCCAAUGGAGGGUUGAAACAUGCAACGUCACUACCACAAUCAUGUCUCUAACCAAGGCAGCAGGUACAGUCAUCCCAAAAAGAAUUCCUAACAUAGCAAGUCCUUUCACCAAAUAAACCAAGAGGGAAUCAACAAAGAACCAGAGUGUAGACCAUAUUUGGAUGGCAUUAAGGGAAAUCAUGCCAAGAACUCCAGCCAACUCGGUAUUCAACUUGAAACCUGCUGGCACUCCCAUCAACCAUACACAACCUGUACGCAACAGCUCAUUUGUAGUAUCAUUGGCAAAGUCCGAAACCCAUAAGCAGACUGAUUCCGCAUUAAACAACAGUGAAAAACCAAUCAAGUUUCCCAAAAGCAAAUCGACAGCUAAGCUUGACCACAUGGAGUGCUUACGUAAUGCAGCUUUCUCAGCAUAUUCAACACAUGACUGAGACCUUACAAAAAAUAAAAAAUAAAAUAAAAUAAAUUAUGCUACAAGAAAUAAAAGGGCCUGUUCCAGAAAAUGAAGACAACAAUAGAUCAAAUGUAAUACACUUAAGAUCAUGGUAUCCAGUCCAUCUAGGUUGGACCAAAUAGGCUAACAAUUCAACUGGUUAACCAUGAGCUUUCCGAAUAAGAAAAACAGAGAAAUAAAUUUUAUUUUUUUCUUUUUCUUGGUAGGAAUUACAAGCUCCUUUUGUAAAUGAGAGAAUAGAGAAAUAAACAACAUUUUAAAUGAUUCUAAAUUAAAUAAUCAAAGUAUAUAAUUUCAUUUUCUACCACAAAGGAAAACCUCAUAAAUAAAAAAACUCCAAUAUAUGUUACCGAGAGCCUCUUGUCACCUGGAGUCAUUGUCCUGAAGAAGGAUAGGCCAAAACAAGAUCUGACCACAACGAAUUUGGAUAUUUAUCCAAGCAGUGUUGAAUAAACUUUUUGAUGUAGUGUAUAUCCACGAUUGUGAUCCAAAACCCAGAAGGCUAUGAAGAAACUGAAGAAAAAUAUAGAAUAUAGUGGACAACGAAGCCAUAGACACAGCCAAUAACUGCCACACCAGAGCAAUAAGCCUAAAAACAACACAUGCCAUUAGAAAGUGCACAGGAAACUAGGAUAGUGUAAUCACCAAAGACUAGAGAAAUACAUGCAAAUAAUAGAAAACUUAGUGAAAGGCCUGCUGGAGCCAACAUGUCUCUCAAAGACCAUUUUGGAAGCAGUGGCACUAUUCAUUGCUAGAAUCACUGCAUCCUGAAUUGAGGAAGACAAAAAUACAAAUUUUCAGUCACUAAAGAAUUUUUGAAACAUGGUAUAUAGCACAAAGGGCAAUCUUGCAAACUACUUUACCAAGUCAUUGAGAGGUUGCUUCUGGUGAAGUUCAUCAAUCCACUUGGGUUCCUUGAGAGGAAUUUUCACCUUUUUGAAAGAAUUCCAACAACUCAAGGAGAAAUGGCGUGCACCAUAUGUGGGAGUUUCAUAAAGUAUCACCUAAAAUUUUCAAACAGAAAGGAGAUUUACCACAACUGAAAAAAACAACUUAAACAUAUAUCAAGCAGUAAAGUAAUCAUGACUUAUCUUUAAAAAUUGAAAAAAAAAAAGGGUAAUCAUGACUUACAUACGUGGACAUCGCACUGAGACACCAAUCGCCCGUUCCAGUGAAUGUGAUGCAAUUUGGGAAUACAGUGAAUAUUUCUACCAUGAAUUUCAUAAGGAUCAUAUGCCAUCUCAAUCCAGUGAUUGCUUCCAGUAGCAGCUUGCGUAUGUUUCUCUAGUAAGCCAUCAAGUUUGUGGCACCCACAAUAGUAUCUUCUAUUUCUCUUUCUUAGCAUACCCUCACUGUUUAGUGCACAAGCAAUAUGACAAGUAGAAUACUUUUUUUUAUCAUUAUCUCCCACUCCAAUCCCGAACAACUGAUCAUUAUCGCUGGGACAUGCGGCACACUGACCAAGCAAAGAAAACAUUGACUUAUCCUGUAAAGUUAUAGACAUGCUCCUGUUUGUAUCGCAGAGGAUUUCCUGAUAACAAGAAAUAGUGCACACUGUAAGAUAUAAUCUAGAACUAAAAUCCUUCAUAUAUCCACUUCAAAUGCACGAAAAUAUGCUUCAUUAACUCCAUAAAGCCUUUAACACACAAAAAAUCAGAGCAACCUCCAUUGCAGCUUCAUUACCCCUCCGGACAGACCAAUAUCCAUCAAAAGAGUUUAGCGUAAUCAAACCUCAUCACAACAUCUCCCCAAACUCAAUAACGUGUUACUAAGAAAACAAUAUGAAAGUAAUACAGUGAGAAACAGGAAUAUAAGAAAAUAAUCUGAAAACAUCAAUAGCUCUAAUCCAAUUAAAUCUCUAUGAUACCAUUUCUCCUAGCUCUAACUGAACAUAGUAUACUCACCAAUGUAUCAUAAUAUCAGAGUUCUACAAGUUUCAAAGUGAACAUUGUAUACUCAUCAAUGCUUCAUAAUAUAACGUUACAACAUUGUCCAAUGUUGUUGAACAAACCACUGUCAAAAUCAUCUAAACUUGAUAUGUACUGUGAGAGUUACACAAUUAAAAGAAAUGCAACUAAAAUACUUGGUGCUUGGAGAAUUAGAUGUUCUUUACAAACUUCUAAUUGCCAAAAAAGAUUAAAACAAUUAUUCUUUAUACCUUAAGACUGUAUUGGCAGCCAGAGAAAGAGGAUUCAUCACAAGCGAAUGCCACAACAAUGUCGAGAGAUGCCGAUGCGCAAGAGACGAACCAGCCAAACAAGAAAGUGUACGAUGAAGAAGGCUCAGUUGAUGACAGGUGCUUCGGCCACCAAAUUCUACAUUGUUUUCUCAUUUUUCACCUCAUGAUCAUCUCAUAGAAUCAACUAAUUAUUCGAUCAUCAAUCACUCUCCUAUCCACAAAAGCCAGCACACUAGAUUAAAUUAAAUUAAAUUAUCCGUUAUUUACAAUAUUAUGCAACGUAGGGUAAUAGAUCCAAAACUUUAUUGUUUUCUCCCCGAAAUUUCUCGAGAAACAAAAACAGGAUUGUGAUUAGAAUAAAUUAGCCGUAGUUAAUUAGAUAAUUAAAGUCCAUUGUUAGAAAUAAAGAGAUAAUAAAUAAGUAUACAAAGAAUUAUCAAUCGUAAAAUUUGGACACGGGUAAACAGGUAGAAAGAGAGAGCUCUUACAAGCUGAAGAAAUCGGUGCCAUUACUUCUGGAUUAUUCAGCCAAGAGCGAAAGAAAGCAAAAGGAAAAAUCUGAGACAAAGUGGUGAGUGUUAGCUCGACUCCAUAUCUCUGUACCUCUGUCUGCCAAAUCUCAAAAAUAAAAUUAAUAUAAGAUGAUGGGCUGUGGCAUUUACAGGGGUGGGCGUUUUGGUUUUCGGUUCGCUUUUUACGGAUUUCGGUUCGGUUUACAAUCCGUUCGGGUUUGAUAAUUCAACCCAAACGGUUUGAAAAGCUACUAUGGUUCUGUACGGUUCCGUUUUAAAUUCGGUUUGGGAUCGAUUCGAUUUGAAAUUCGGUUCGGCUUCAGGUUCGGAUUUUCGAUUUCAAUUCCGGUUUAGAUCGUAAGAGGUCGAAUUGUAUUCAUUUUACAUAAAUACAGAAUAUAACACCUAGAACAGCUUUAAUCACACUAUAAAAAUGAAUACAAAUAUAUUCAAUUCAACAACCUUACAAAGUAUAUGUCAAAAUAUGAGAUUUUCAAUUAUAUUUUAUUCAUAAUCCUCAAUCUUAAACUUAAAUUUGAGAGCAACAUGAAUAUACAAAAUUUAGAAAGCCAAAUCUCAAAAAGAAGGCAAAAAAAAUAACAACUGAUUAGCUAAAAACACCACCAUCAUAAGAAUUACAUAAGCAUAAAACAAGAAAACCUCAUAAAUUUUUCUUUUUUACCGGCAAGAUCAAGUCAACCAUAUGUCUUAAGCCCAAAAUGCUACAAUAAAAAGAUUCUCAACCAACAAAGAUACAAAUUUUACACACCCAAAAUAUUCUACAGCAAACUAAGAAUCAGGAAUCAAAAGAAAAAGAAACAAACCCAGAAGAAAGAAAGCCAAGAGAAGCAAGAACGGAAGAAAUAAAAAGGACAAGCCUUUAAAACCGAACCGAACAGUAAACCCGAUCGGGUUAUAUUAGGGGAAAACAAACCUAAAUUACUAGAAACCAAACCCCGUCCCCCUCAAAAUUAAGCGAAGCCUCAUCUCUCUUUGCAAGUAUUCUGCAUUUAGGAAGAUGCUUUCGAUUUUGGGCUUAGAAAAGCCCGGCCCAUAAGCCUCAUCAGUAUUCGUUACACAAUCAUAAUGUUCCACGUGGACUUCAUCGCUUCCUCUGAAUCAAAAACAAGAGAAGCUGCCUCAUUUCGUCCUUGAAUUGAAUUGAACACGUACAUCAUCAAGUAUUGAUGGCUUUAGCGUACAAUCAUUACUCCAAUCUUGUUCUUUUCAAACAAUCAAACGAAGUAAAAUUCAAGUGUUUCACGAGUAUUAGAUGUCAAAUACAAACGAAAAAACGAUGCUUGAGAUGCAACACUCUUUAUCUUGACAAAGAUAAUUCCCCAACUGCAUGCUCCUUCCACGGCCACACAACUGGUACCAUAUUUCUUACCUCUAAUAUAGCUUUAGCAUUUGGCACCAACUUGCCAAUUGAGAUUCUUUCUUUUCGAUAUUUUCUUUCGGUACUUUACUAAUUAGUGUUUAACUGCAGGGGAGAAAGGGUUGUUUGCCCUGGCGCCACCACACCAAGGGAUUGAUGGGGAGUGGAGCGAUCGCUCUGGGGUGAUCGUUUAUAAGUGGAAUGAAAAGGAUGAUAGGCCAAACACUGGAAGUGCUAACUGGAAGAAAAGAUGGAGCUGCUGUGCUGAGUAUGAUAAAAAUGCCCCGCCUUGUCGGACAGGGUGGCAUGUUUCUUACGAUGAUGGCUUCACAUUGUACUAGUCAGUGUUUGAGUUGAAUGUGGACGCCAGAUUGUAAAAUUCAUCUGAAGAAGAAACGAUGACAUGUUUUCUUACUAGUGUAGCAUCUUGCAUAUAUUUCUUGCUAUCUAUGCAUCUCAGAUUGAUGUUGGUUGAAUUGAAUAUGGAGAACAUCUCAUGUUUUGUUGCUACUACCUUGUAUGAUGUCAUGCAUCUCAUUGUGGUUUGUCACUGACUCGGAAAUAAGGUUUUAUUUUCUUACUUAAAAUUGUAAUUCGUUGUAUUAGCAAUGCUCCAUCGAUGCAACAGCUUUUGGUAUAUACCAAAUUCAAAAUGGCCUACUCUAAAAUUUACUCUGGAUUCAUUCACAUAUUAGUCAAUCUUGGAGUAAAUUUUUCCUUCAAUUGGUUGAGGUAAAUGCAUUGAUUCCUGGAAAACGAAAAGAGUCAAUACUUGAUUUCUUGGAUUUUGGGAGAUAAUUUGUUUGCUCCUCACAUCAAUUCACAAGUUCUCAACCUAAAUUGUUCUAAUUAAACUUUUGUCAGUUGCUAGUAACUCUGCUCCUACUGAACCAGUGUCAUACCUCCUCUCUCAUAUAAUGUAGUAACAAGAAGCAAUGAAACAAGAGCAAGAUACUAUCAUAUUUGCUGUAGUUUCAUCGAACCACUCACUCAGCCAUCGGGUGGUAAAGGUUACCGCACCAACACUGACCUGAUUGCUUCACUGCUCAUAUCUUAAUUUGUUGUGAUAAAAUGAAGAUCAUCUUCUAACACGAAAAGCAGAAACAUAAUAAUUUUUAAAAAAUGUAACAACAAAAUCUUGUUCAAAUUUUAUAAUUGAAGAUUAUUUAUAAUGGCAGAUUAAAAAGACUGAAUAUUACACAUAAACGAACAUAUCGAAUAAACUUCAUUUCACUCAAUUAAAUGACCACACCAAACUCUUACUGAACAGUCUUAAAAGAUUCAUGAACAUGCCUCAAGGUCUCUUCGUCUCGAUUCCACUCGGGCGUCGGUGCAUUAACAAAAUGUGCAUAAAGCUUAUUGUUAGCGCAAGUAACACUUAUCAAGCUAUGAGAACCAACACCAUCAAUCUCAUACACAUAAUAAAGCUGUCCUUUAUCAUCCUUCUUCUCCUCAGAAGCCACCUUAUCAGCGCUCGCUAGCAAGUCCUGCAAAUCCACAUCACUCAAAGCAAGAUUAUUCAACACAGCAUCUUUUGGCGCGAGCUGCCGAAACCCCGCCAAGAACGUCAAGUACUCUUUCUCAGUUCUCUUCUUAGGGUUAUAAAACUCACUGUCUGUUCCAUUUGUACCCUUCUCAACUUUCGACACCAAGCGCUCUUUCCAUCCAUCUGGGACAUCGUAAAUGUACUCAGCGGAGGCUUUCUUGUCGGAGUUGCCGCCGUAGCCGCCGUAGUUUGCUGCGCUGGCGGCUGUGCCGUAGUAGAUGUGGUAUGUUUGUGCAGGCUCAGCUAAUGAUGGCGAAGCUGUUAAGAGCGUGGUGGUUGCUAAAGUAGCCGUCAGUAGGGAAGUGAGAGAUUGUUUGGUGGAUGUGAAGAGAGAAGAGUGGGGUGGUUUUGUUGGGGUUUUGCAGGCGGUGGUUGUGGCGGACGAGGAGAUGACGGGGGACGACGGUGAGAAUAUCGCGGCCAUGGAAUGUGGGCUUAGAUUAGUGGAUGUGGUAGCUGCUGUUGGUUGAUUUUUAUGCGAUUUAUUUUAUUUAUUUAUUUAUUUUAAUUACCUGAUAAGAUGAUUAUUUUCCUUAUCCAAUCAAGCGGGGGUAAAGCUUCAGAUGUUAUGUUGUCGGCCCUUUAAAAGGCCUGCCUGCCUGCCUCGUCAUGAAUCUAGGGAUGAUAUUGGGCCAAGCCCGAGUCCGCCCAUAAUUUUUAAAAUUUUUUUAUUUUGAUAUUUAAAUAAUUUAAAUUUAAAAAAAAAAAAAACAUAACCUUCUCUAAUAUAUUACUUGUCAACAAAAUUCCUUUUUAUUACUUUUCAAGUUAGGAAGUCAUGCGUUGAAGGGGUUAAAUGAUAAUGUUAAGUUAUUUGAGAAUUGCGAUUCGUGAGAUUCAUUAAAUUUGUAUUAUGCCAAAUAAAAUGAAUGAAAUUGUUUUGAUUGGGUCACACGAGAAAUUUUUGACGUGCCAACUAAUUUAUUGAUCGGCGUGGUUAAUUGUCUUGGGUAAAGGUAAAGUAUGUAAUAUACGUGAUAUGAAUCUUUUAGAAAAGGAAUUUUAUUGCUGUUGUUAUUAGAUGAUGUCUCAUGAUGAUGAUGAUUAUUUAGCAUUAUUGCAACUAAAUUUCUUCCGUAUUUUUUUGUGUGGGGUUUCAACUCCAUAGCUAUCGUUUUCUACUUAAAAAUUUUACCAACAAGAUUAGCGGCCCCCCACAAUGCAGAGAUUCAUAUACCUUACAUAUAUAUUUAGUUUUCUGUUAUCAAAUUCAUGAUUGUGUUAUUUUUUUUGAAAAUUGUCCUUCAAAAUAAUUGUAUUCCACUUCCACAACAUAUUUUUUUCAGAUAAUUUUAUAGCAUUAUUACAUCUAAAUGGUACAUAAAGAUCAUAAGUUAGAUAUUACAUGUAAUCAAUAUAGUUACUCCUAAUGAGAAUCUAGCAAUGGUUACACUGGUCUGUAAAUGCAGCAACAAUACCCCCCAAGAAAAGGGGGAGAAAAAAAUAACUAAGAUUGUUUUUGUGUUUUGAGAGUGUGAGUUGUGUCACAUGUGUGAAUGUGCGAGGCGUGUGUGAUUGUUCUUUUUCUCCCUUAAGUUUUCAGGUCGGGACAAGUAAGGCCCAUACCCUGAUCUAAAUUAGUAUUUAAGCUAUAAAGCGACCCUUAACUCUUAAAUUAGGUCAAAAUAAGAAAAUUUUGGAUAAGAUCAAUCAGUCCAAAAAUCGAGUUUGAUUUUUUUGUCAUCCCUAAUCAUGAUUGCUUGAAAAGCAAAACUUUGUUAUAAUUUGGUCAUAAUUAUUUACAUGUAUUCAAGUUUUAGAUUAUUAUUUAUUUAUUUAUUAACACAAAUUAUCACUGCUCAGUACAAGAUUAGAUUAUGAGAUAAUUUUAAUUCAAAUAGUUCCUACACUAUGAAUAUCCAUUUUUGAGGGCUUUGAUUUUUUAACAACUUUCUUUAAGGAUAAUAGAGACUAAAAAAUAAAUUAGAUCUCAUUUCAAUAUUUCUGAGAGGUACAUGUACCAUAUUAAAAAAAAUUUGAAUAAGAGAUAAAAUGAGUCCCUAGCAUUGGGGCUAUAAACCCAAAAAUAGUACCUAUGAGUAAUCCAAUUCUCUUCUCAUAUACAUUUAUAUCUACCUGAGGUCCUGAGCUAAGACACGCUUCAUUCACAUGCACAUAUAUAUUAAAUUGCGUCAUAACAAACAUACCCAAAUAAUUUGUCAACAAAAUUGUUAUGAUAUAUAAUUUUAAAAAAUUAGCUUCAACCAAUGAGAAUACUUCUCAAGUCCCAAAUUUGGUAAUACCAAAAUUCUGAAAUUCAUUCCGACCCUCACCGAAAACAAUAAUAAAUUUUGGCAUAAUUGCAAUAGAUAGGGGGCAGGGGCAAUAAUGUACUUGCAGUCCCAAAAAGACACAUCGACCGCCAAAAACCCUAGGGAUAGGGAGCGGGUACUCUCUUGUUUCUAACAUGAAUCAAUGAUGGAAAUUCACGUGCCCCCUUCAUUGUCGCUUCAAUUUCUCUCUCCCCAUUUUAGCUUUCCAUUAAAACAAUCAAUCAAUUGAAUGAUUUUAAGUUUCUAGGGUUUCAAUUGAUUCAUCGGAAGCAAAUAAAAAGGACUCGUUUCGAACACUUUAAUUUAUUUGCGUCUUUCACAAAUUCAAGAACGACACGACAUGUCCAAGAGGUGAUCUUCUUCUUCAAUUCCUUUCAGUUUUGUUUAAUAUUGCUUUUAGAUCGUAGUUUCUGUUUAGCUAAUCUAAAAUUUAUUGCCUUUUUAUGCUUGGUUGCUGGGAAAAUAUGCGCGUUUGAAGAAUGUUAUAAUUUAGCUAUUACUGAUUUAUGAAUUGACUUUGUAGCUAUUAAUGAUCUCAUUGCAUUAGGUAUCUGCCCCUUGUGGUCUUGCUUAUUUCUUGGUUUAAGGUACUGUUAUUGUCAUAAUAAUAUCUUGUGGCUCUUCGAUUCUUUCAGGGUCCUUUGCAAGUUCUUUGCUCAUGGAGCAUGUCUGAAAGGCGAGCAUUGUGAAUUUUCACAUGAUUGGAAGGAUCCACCGAAUAAUGUAAAAAUCUCUUGUUCUAUCACUUUUUUCACUUGGUUAUUGACGUUUGUUUAACUGAUUGCUUUUUUAAUCCGAAAAUUGUUUCUUAUGGUUUGUUAAUUGUUAUCUUAGAUAUGCACUUAUUAUCAGAAAGGGUUCUGCUCUUAUGCUAGUCGGUGCAGAUAUGAGCAUGUCAAACCUUCUCGGUCAGAGUUGGCUGCUUCAUCUUCCUCAUCAGUUUCUCAUCCUUCAAGAGCUACAUCAAGUGGGAUAACUAAAGUUCCAGGUGUCAUGCCAGAGCUAUCUGCAUUGAGUAGACCUUUUCUUCCUCCUAACAAGACAGCAUGGAAUCCGGAGUCUGUGUGCAAUGAUUCUUUAGAGAAUGAUGAGGUUGACGAGCCCAGGAAUCUAAAACCUGCUGACCGUUCUAUCUGUUCAUUUGCUGCUGCUGGUAAUUGUCCUCGUGGGGAAAAAUGUCCUCAUAUUCAUGGAGACACAUGCCCAACUUGUGGGAAGCAAUGCUUGCAUCCUUUCAGACCUGAAGAAAGAGAAGAGCAUAUGAAAUCUUGUGAGAAAAAGCAAAAGCACCUUGAAGCUCUAAGACGUAGCCAAGAAAUUGAAUGCAGUGUGUGUUUGGAUCGUGUAUUAUCAAAGCCUACGGCAGCUGAACGAAAAUUUGGGUUGCUAUCUGAAUGUGAUCAUCCAUUCUGUAUAUCCUGUAUCAGGAAUUGGCGUAGUAGUUCUCCAACCUCUGGAAUGGAUGUCAAUACUGCACUGAGGGCUUGUCCAAUUUGCCGGAAGCUAUCAUAUUUUGUAAUUCCAAGUGUCAUUUGGUAUUACACACCAGAAGAAAAACAGGAAAUUAUUGAUAGCUACAAGUCGAAACUCAAGUAAUUCUGGAAUCUAUUGACCCAUUGCUCAUCAUUGUUUUCUAAUUUAUUGUUAUGCAUUUUACACGAUUUUAGACAAUUUUUUUUAAAUUUUACAGCAGGGCAGUUUACAUAAUUAUAGACUUGAGGUGCUUUUCUUUUAGUCAUGGCUUUGGACAUAACCUUUUUUUUUUUUUGGUUUCGUUUCUUGCAGGUCAAUCGAUUGCAAGCACUUUAACUUUGGUAAUGGCAACUGCCCAUUUGGAACUAGUUGUUUCUACAAGGUAACUUAACUGUCAAUAUCAGUUGCAGCUAUGUAGUUAUUUAUUUUUACCCUUUUACCCCUUAGUAGUGUGAAGCUGGUUAUAAAUGCUUGUUGAAGGCAUGAAAUUUUGCAAGUUCUUUAUUAUUGCUAUGCUGUUUUCCUCCUCUUUUAUGUUCAAUGAGUGUCAAUUGGAUGUCUUUUUCGGUGCUUUAAUUUUUCUUUUUUUUUCCCCCCUGAUCAAAGAUCAGGGAAAUAAUGUUUUCGAAAUCUGUAUCAUGUGCUGUAGGUGAAUGCUAUGGUAGGGUUUUAGUCAUUUGGAUGAUCAUUUUGAACUCAACAACUGGGCUUUUGAGCCAAUAAAGCAUUUGUAUCAGUGAACAUGAGUUCAGCCCAUGACCUCAAUUUGGGAGUUCAGUGUGAAAACUUAUUUUGAAACAGGAGUUCUGGUCCCAGCUAUGUAUGGGAGUAACAUUGCUGUUGGAGAGUGGGAACUGUCUAUAUACUGUAUGUCAGAUCCAUAUCCAUUUCCACGUCUGCUAUAUAAUAAGGGUGUGUUGUUAUCUUUUCAUGUGGCUUUAAAGAUCUUGUCUUGUGCUAUGUUUGUUUUGUUAUAAUUCAUGUCCAUGCGAAAUCUGUCAAGGUCAGUUAUUUAGCUCUUCAACAAUUGGUACAACGUUGCCAUGUUAAGAUUUGAAUUGGCCAAAAGAGCAUGAAAAUGAAAGAUGGGACUGAAAUGGAGCAAGUCUGUUACUCUUGAUUAGUUAUGGUAAUGUAGAAGGUGGAUGUUGGUAAUCUUAAGAAUUUUCUUGGAGUUAAAAGGCAACAAUAGUUUGCAGUGCUUUGGAGAAAGUGUUAUUACAAUAAUCAAAUUGAAAUACAUUUUAAAAUAUGUUGAAUCUCAUUGUUGAGGGUAGUGAAAUUCGUACCACCCUUAUGUUUGUGCCGCCAUCUCUCCCUCUCUUCUUGAGUUAUUGUAGUAAUCAGUUUAUGUUGCAUUUUUUUUUUCCUUGUAAUGAUUUUCAUUGAUAGUUGUAGAAUACGUGUAGAGCAUAAAUGUGCUGUUUGUUUUAUCAGUCGCAUCUAUUUGCUGCUGUUCCUUGAGGUUCUGUUGAAAUGGAUCACCUGAGUAAUGACUUCUCUGUUCCAAGUGUUGUGCGCCAUAUGUUCUUCCUUUUUUUUUUUCAUUUAUUUAUUUUCAUAGCUACUAGUAGCAGAGAACGUUGGCUUUAUGUCUCCAUUAAUAGAUAUAAUGUUGUGUUGUGUUCCAGCAUAUGGUCAAGCCUGGUUCUUACAUGUGGAAAUAUCACAGGCCACCUCCACGCAGGCCACCUCCAUUCAGGCCACCUCCAUCAAGAUCCAAUGUUGUGGAUAUGGAUUCAUUUAUUGAUGCGUUCGGGGACUUACUUGGGGAAGAUGAACCUGAUUUUUUUGAUGCUGAAAAUGAAGUUAGAAUGGCUUUGGAUGUGGAGAUGGCUUUGUUAUUAACGCAACUAGAUUUUGACUCAAGUGACUCGAGUGAUUAUGAGAGUUAUUUAGAUUAAGUUAUUAGAACUCGCUAUGAUAUCUCUAGUCCAUUCUGUGUUGGACAUUUGAGUUGUCGUUCAUCUUGGUGUUUUGAUAGUCCACUACAUUUUGCAUCAUGGAAUAAGAUGAAGCUUUUGGUUUGUUUCCUUUGAAUAUAUAAUGAAUUCUAGUUUAUUAUGGUUUGGAUUUCUCUCUCUAGUGGAAUUUAGUAGUAAGUUGAUGUUGGCAUUGUCUUGCCUGGAAAUUAUGUGUAUGAUUUUCUGACGCCUGUUGCUAACCAUUGAUUACUAUUCAUCUGUGAAGUUUUGGCUGUUAUUUUGUUGUGUUUAUUGACAUUCCAUCUUUGCAGCAUGCCUAUACAGAUGGUCGUUUGGAGGAAGUUGUUCUGCGUCACCUUGGGUCAGACGAUGGAAGCACUGUGAUAGCUAAAGAUAUCAGGUUCACUAAUUUAUCUCAAUUAACAGUUACUCUGGUUUAAAAGCUCAUUUUUCUUUUAUCUUUUUUGAAAUAUAUUUUCCUACUAAAUUUUUUCAGGUUGUCAGAGUUCCUUACUAAUAUGCACAUAAGGUGAAAAGAGUUGUUAAAGCAUUCCAGCGUAAGUUAUCAAGAAAUGAAUCCUCUUUUGUGUUUUCAACAACUAAUUAAGUGCAGUGGCAUCCUAGGCAUUUGGUAAUCAACAAUGGCAUUGACUACGGUCCAUCUAGAGAUAUCACUUACUCAUUUAAUUUAACAUUUAUGAGAAGUCUCCAGUUAUAGCAACCUGUCAUAUGCUUAGUUAUGGCUUGCUGACACCCUUUCUUCAUGUAUGCAGGAUAUCUAAUAAUGUCAAGAUAUAUUAGCAACAUUGAUGUGGAAGUCGUCCUACAUAGUCAGUGUCAUGCUCUUGUAAUCUUUUGAGGUAAGGUGCAGUUAUCUGAUAUUCUAUGGCUUUUUAACUUCUGGUAACACAAUCAUGAUAUUCUAUGUGUUCAAUUGUGGAGAUUGAAAGAAUCAGUUUUGAUGAAACUGUAUUUGGAAAGCAUUUAGAUUAACAAAAACUUGUUCAAUUAUGUAUGCCCUGCAAUUUCAUUCUUGUGAUUCUUGGAAUUCAGAAUAUUUGUGAUUGUUGACAAUUUGCACUCUCUAUUAGGUGUAUACUGAAGCAAUAACUGUUAUGGAUGCAUGUACAUUGUUUAUCACAUUCUCUGCUCUGUUCAGCUCGUGCAUGGUGCCAAAUGCAGGAUUGCUGGCCAGUUGCCUGAGGGGACCUUCAUGUGGAAAGCUUGAGCAUGCUGGAUUGUAUAACAAACUGCAGAUUAUAUGACCUUGAAUUACAUAAUAAUAGAAAAAACUGAUGGAUGGGUGAAUUUAUUCGAAUUUGAAAUAACAGAUGUGUCAGUUGCAGUGUUUCUUACCCACUUGGCUUCUUGUCCCCAAAAGUGAGAAAUUAGAGACUGUCUGCUUUCAGUAUUUGAUUGUUACAGUAAUAGAAUGUAAAUGCAUGGAGUGACGAAAUACUUUCUGGAGUCGUCAUUCAUUUUGCAGAGUGUUGUAUGCAAGUUUGAAAUCUAUAUGGAACUACACAAAAGCUUCUACUUGAAUUUUGUGUUCUUGUUUCAAAGCAUAUGUUAAAGAUUACACUGUUUUGCGCAUGCAAGGGAAAAAUUACACAAUUUUUUUGGCGUUUAUCAUUGGAAGUGGCUCGCUCGGUGACUGAAUUUUACAAUUUUCUUGAUGUCUGUGUUACCUCGAUGGAUAAUACAGGAAAAAUAAAUAUAUUCCUAAUUCCAUCAGAAAAAAUAAAAUAAAAAGAAUUUCUGCCGGUUGAAAAAGUAUUUUUCCGUUCACAUUAAAUUUUCGACCUUUCUUUGUCCGCUAGGAGAAACAACAAAAAAGGGGGAAAAAAAAGAAUAUUCUUCCAAAUGAUUAUUCUGUUUAAUAACAAGAGAUUUUUAAUAAACCAAUAAAAAAGAAAUUAAUAAAAUUCAAUUUGCUUUUUCCAAUUUCUUGUCCCACCACCACAAGGACAUAAAGAGGAGUUGAAUGAAAUGGACUAAGAAUUUGACGAGUUCCUACACAUAUAUGUGUAUAUGUACACACAUGUCAUGUACGGUUUUGCUGCUCAAACUGCAGGCGUGCAAUUUUUCUUGUUCAUUGAUUCAAAUUUCAGUUUCACUUCUUCAGCUCAUAUGUGAGCGCACAAACAGGAUUUGGAAGUUACCAACUUGUUUUUUUUUUUUUUUUUUUUUUUUUGGGCCCCCUAAUUUGGUACAAUUCAACCGGUAUUUUACAAUUAAAAUUUGUAUUUAACCCUUACCAAAAAAAUAUAAUAAUAAAUUUUAGACGCAAUAAUGAGUUAGACAUGUCCUCUACUCUUCGUAAUUUUCUGUCAUAUGUCUAUGUAAAAUAUUAUUAUACGAUUGAGAUUUAAUUAAUUCUAUUUCCGUCUAAUAACUACCAAUUCUAUAUUUAUAAAAGGUUAGCAAAAAAGAACAAUUCAAUUUUAAUAAUAAUUCUCCUGAUUUUAAUCAGAGAAAAUAACAGGAUGAAAAAUUAAAACCCCUUUUUAAUUAAUUUAUCUUCAAUUUAUUAAAUAAUUAAUCAUCAACUUGUGGCUGCGGUGUUUGUAAACCCAAUUGCUUCUAAUAAAUCUCUGAUCUGCACUUAAAUAAUUCAACAACAAUUUUAUGAAGCCAAGUCCCAUUCACACCACAUGAAACUCCCAUAAGAAGUCAAGAACAAAGAGAAAGGAUCAGAGGAUAAACAAAUUAUAUAUAAAAUAAUAUAAAAUCUCUUUUAUUAUUCAACCGUAUAUAACAAAUAUGUAAGGAUGGCUAUAUACAAUAUAAUAUAACAACAACGAAUAAUAAUCAAUAGUGAAUACAAAUAAUAUUAGCCCCAAAAUCUCAAUAAUAAUAAUAAUAACAACCCAUCAUCAACAAAAAGAAAAAGAAGAAGAAGAAAAAAACGAGUGUCUCAAAAACAGAGGGUACAAAAGGAGCCCGAAAAACAAUAUAAUGAAUAGAAACUCAAUGGUUGAGGAAAGCAAGAGCAGACAAGAAGAAAGAAGAGCAAAUGAGGGCCCCAGAAAGCCCCGUAGAAUAAGAAGCAGCUCCCUUGUCCAUGGAUGGUGCCGGCGCAGGUGCCGGUUCUUGAGCAGAAACAACAGCCACAGCAAAAACCGCCAUCACAAAAAUCAAAGCAACUCUAUUAAUCUUCUUCAUUGCUGCCAUUUUUAUGAAAUGCGAGGGGAAGAUGGGAAGGGUCUGGGCUUUUGCUUAGCGAGAUCGUUGAAGACGUCGAUGAUAAUCAACACGAUGAGUGAGAGGAAGCGGUGCUGAAGUCUAUUGUUUAUUGCUUAUUUAUAGGAGAGGAUUUGCGCGUGGGGGCCCCACAGGAACGUGGACAGCUGGCGGGGGAAGUGGCCACGUUGAGAGAACAGAACACAACAUAUGUGUUUUUUAUUUAGUCCGUUAAGAAAACGGCUAGUUACCCUUAACGUGGCGGUGGUUCAGACUUAAAGACUUUAAUACGUUGCUGCUGAUGAUGGUUUCUUGCUUCGUUGUUCGGCGAACGCUUCUUUUUUUAUCCAACCGUUAACCUACCUUUCCCCUAACCCAUGGCUAGGUCAAACCCCACACAAAUAUCUUUCACUCGCGGCAGAAUGGGGAAAUUUACAUCAAUAAUCAUAAAAAUUUUAACUUUUUUUAUCUUAACCCCCCA
rnacentral:lncRNA from 1 species